GCAGCGGUAGUUCAGCUCCUUAGACUACCGUCCUGUCCCGCCGGGCGCCGCGGGUUCGAGCCCCGUCCGCUGCGCCA
rnacentral:tRNA from 1 species